rnacentral:misc_RNA from 1 species
AAUACAUUCCCGUCUUUAAACCCUAUCACACCACAAAUAGGACAAAAAAACAAAUUAACGAGUGGAUCAGCAUUAGAGCAACAAGUUAAUACUAACUGCAGUAGGGGAAAGUCGGGCAGGCAUGAAAAUUGCUUGUGUCAGAUGAGAGAUACCAAACCACCCAGUUCUCCCCAGUUGAGUAUACAUAACCUCCAUAACUAUCACAACUGUAGGUAUUAUACCAAUUUGUACCUUGGACCAAGCAUAGAAGUGCA